AACUAUAACAUAUGUGCUGUUAUUAAUAUAUUAGAGUCAUCUGAAGUGCAUUCUGAAGACAACAAAGCCCUUCCAGAGAAAAGCAAGAAAAGAAGGUUCAAGACACCAUCUCAAGUUGAGGCUUUAGAGAAAUUUUACAUUGAGUCAGUAGGGCUGUCAGAAAAGCAAGUUUCUGGGUGGUUUUGCCACUGAAGGUUGAAGGACAAGAAACAGGAUGGUGAAACAGCUGCAACUGGAAGACAAGAUCGUUCAAGUAAGUGGUAGUGAACAUUAGGUUUUGCCACAGAAGUGGUCAAGAAUGAUUGAAAGAAACAAUUUUCCUUUAGAUGAGAGAAGAGCAUAUGGACUCCACACAAGGUCUAUGACUUGAAAAAGAAAAAAGUUCCGUUACUUUCUUCCCGUGCAGGAGGAAUUGGAAGAAGGUAAUGCCUGCUUUUGUUUGCUUGCUGUGGAUGUCUAUUAUGGUUCUUUGCUGCAAUUGUUUUUCUUAAGACUUCUACUACGUGCUGCAUAUUUUCGGGGAUGAUUUUUGCUGCUACAACUUCUGAUACAACUUCAACCUACGGGUAUGUUCCUUAUAUUUUGGAAGGUUUCAGGUAGCCCAUUUAUGUGGUUGGCUUUGGGAGCAGAAAGAGUAUAAGCCCGGCAAAGAAAUAAGCUUCAAGUAAAGAAAAUCUACGCACGGAAUGAGAUGGUUGGCCUAGUUCAUGAUUAUAUUUUCAGGAAAGUAGAAUUACAUUAGUUAUUUUUUAAUGAGUCCAAUUAGUUGGGCUCUUUUACGUAAUUUUGUUGAAAAAUUGUUUCCCAAGCUAAUGUAAUAAAUCUUUAUUCAAUAGUUGAAUUGUUUAUUGUAUA